rnacentral:rRNA from 1 species
UACGUAGGGGGCAAGCGUUAUCCGGAUUUGCUGGGUGUAAAGGGAGCGUAGACGGCAGCGCAAGUCUGGAGUGAAAUGCCGGGGCUCAACCCCGGAACUGCUUUGGAAACUGUGCAGCUAGAGUGCGGGAGAGGUAAGCGGAAUUCCUAGUGUAGCGGUGAAAUGCGUAGAUAUUAGGAGGAACACCAGUGGCGAAGGCGGCUUACUGGACCGUAACUGACGUUGAGGCUCGAAAGCGUGGGGAGCAAACAGG